UACGUAGGUGGCGAGCGUUGUCCGGAUUUACUGGGCGUAAAGGGAGCGUAGGCGGACUUUUAAGUGAGAUGUGAAAUACUCGGGCUCAACUUGAGUGCUGCAUUUCAAACUGGAAGUCUAGAGUGCAGGAGAGGAGAAUGGAAUUCCUAGUGUAGCGGUGAAAUGCGUAGGGAUUAGGAAGAACACCAGUGGCGAAGGCGAUUCUCUGGACUGUAACUGACGCUGAGGCUCGAAAGCGUGGGGAGCAAACAGG
rnacentral:rRNA from 1 species